UGAAUACGAGAUGCUACGGCGUCGAAGCAGUCUAUGUCAUACUUCCAAGAAAAGCUUGCACUGUCAUAAACAAAUAAUGCCUGUACCAUAACCGACACAGGUAGGUAGGUAGAGUAUACUAAGGGGCGCGAGAUAACUCUCUCUAAGGAACUCGGCAAAAUGACUCCGUAACUUCGGGAGAAGGAGUGCCUUAUUUAUAAGGUUGCAAUAACAAGACCCAAGCAACUGUUUAUCAAAAACACAGGUCUCCGCUAAGUCGUAAGACGAUGUAUGGGGGCUGACGCCUGCCCAGUGCCAGAAGGUUAAAGAAGUUGGUUAGCAUUAGCGAAGCUGAUGACUGAAGCCCUGGUGAACGGCGGCCGUAAUCAUAACGGUCCUAAGGUAGCGAAAUUCCUUGUCGGGUAAGUUCCGACCCGCACGAAAGGCGUAAUGAUUUGGGUACUGUCUCAGAGAGGGACUCGGUGAAAUAGACUUGUCUGUGAAGAUGCGGACUACCUGCACCUGGACAGAAAGACCCUAUGAAGCUUUACUGUAACCUGAAAUUGAAAUUGGACUUUAUUUGCGCAGUAUAGGUGGGAGGCUUUGAAGAUAUUCUUGCGGGAAUGUUGGAGCCAUCAGUGAGAUACCACUCUUGUAAUGUUAGAUUUCUAACUUUGUAUCAUUAUCUGGUCAAAGAACAGUUUCAGGCGGGCAGUUUGACUGGGGCGGUCGCCUCCUAAACGGUAACGGAGGCGCACAAAGGUUUCCUCUGAACGGGUAGAAAUCGUAUCUAGAGUGUAAAGGCAUAAGGAAGCUUGACUGUGAGACCUACAAGUCGAGCAGGGACGAAAGUCGGUCUUAGUGAUCUGACGGUGCUGAGUGGAAAGGCCGUCACUCAACGGAUAAAAGUUACUCUAAGGAUAACAGGCUGAUCUCCCCCAAGAGUUCACAUCGACGGGGAGGUUUGGCACCUCGAUGUCGGCUCAUCGCAUCCUGGGGCGGUAGUACGUCCCAAGGGUUGGGCUGUUCGCCCAUGAAAGCGGUACGCGAGCUGGGUUCAGAACGUCGUGAGACAGUUCGGUCCAUAUCCGGUGUAGGCGUUAGAAUAUUGAGAGGAGCCAUCUCUAGUACGAGAGGACCGAGAAGGACACACCUCUGGUGUACCAGUUAUCGUGCCAACAGUAAACGCUGGGUAGCUAUGUGUGGAGCGGAUAACCGCUGAAAGCAUCUAAGUGGGAAGCCCACCUCAAGAUAAG
rnacentral:rRNA from 1 species